GAUGAACGCUGGCGGUGUGCCUAAUACAUGCAAGUCGAGCGGCAGCGCGAAUAGUUUACUAUUUGGCGGCGAGCGGCGGACGGCUGAGUAACACGUAGGAACGUACCCCAAAGUGAGGGAUAACUGCUCGAAAGAGUAGCUAAUACCGCAUGUGAUCUAAGGAUUAAAGCUUCGGCGCUUUGGGAACGGCCUGCGUUCGAUUAGCUAGUUGGUGAGGUAACGGCUCACCAAGGCUCCGAUCGGUAGCUGGUCUGAGAGGAUGACCAGCCACACUGGGACUGAGACACGGCCCAGACUCCUACGGGAGGCAGCAGUGGGGAAUAUUGGACAAUGGGCGGAAGCCUGAUCCAGCAACGCCGCGUGGGGGAUGACGGCCUUCGGGUUGUAAACCUCUUUCAGUACUGACGAAGCGUAAUGUGACGGUGGGUACAGAAGAAGCACCGGCCAACUACGUGCCAGCCGCCGCCGUAA
rnacentral:rRNA from 1 species